GUUUUUCCCAUGCUGUUCUCGUGAUAGUGAAUAAAUCUCAGGAGAUCUGAUGGUUUUAUAAAGGGCAGUUGCCCUGCACAUGCUCUCUUGCCUGCCACCAUGUAAGAUGUGCUUUUGCUCCUCCUUUGCCUUCCAGCAUGAUUUUGAGUCCUCCCCAGCUAUGUGGAACUCUGGCUUCGUGAAAGGAGAUGGAAAGUAGAAGGAAGGGGAAAAGGACUUCUUUCUCUUUCUUGCUGUUCCUACCAGAAUCACACUAGCAGUUGGUUUCGGCCUCCAACUUCCUUUGGCACCAGUGUUUCAGAGGUAUCAGCACCAGCCAAGUGGCAAUCUCUUUUCCUAGCUCCAUGGAGGUCUUCUUCCAAAGGUCUCUUGCUUCUGGCCCAGAACAAUCCCAGGGGCCUUAACUACAGACUCUAAUUGGGCGCAUCAGCAUCACGAGUAGGACUCAACUACUUGUGGACCAAGGUGACACUUAGGAAUCCCAAGAAGCUCCAGCCAUAAAGGGAGUCGGUAUCCUUCCUCCAAUUGUAAACCCCAGCACUCCCACUGAACACACUGGCCAUGCCAAAAGUUCACACAUCGGCCACGCAAAGAGCUCAAAGAGAUCCAUUCAGUACCUGGGAAGGCACGAUCACUACGGGGAGAAUCAGAAACCACGCGAUCGCCAGGUGGCCUUCAAAGAAGCCUCCUCCCAGAAGGUCCAGAAUCCCAUCCAGAGACAUUUCUGUCACUCUUCUCAAGCCACCUCAUCAUCUCUCUCUGCAGUUGAACUGCUGAUGUUUCUGAGAUUGUGGGUUUGUUCAAAAUGAAGCUUGGCAGAAUCAUAAUUUAUAGGCUAAUAUUUUGUAAGUAGAGACAAUUCAUGACUUAGAAUCUUAUGAAUAAAUUGCUCCUGUUUUAUUGCUCUGUGUGUGUGUGUGUGUGGGUGUGGGUGUGGGUGUGGGUGUGUGUGCAUAUAACUUUUCUUUUUCCACGUUUACCUCUUGAGUGGGCCCAUUAAACUGAGAAGUACUGCGUGAGGUCUUGAGAUAGCACAAGCCUUCGCCACCCCUGUAAAGGUGUGACGUGUGUCUAGGCAAAACCCUGGCAGGUCUCCAGGCGGUCCUUCUGAGUUAGGGCUCUGAACACUCUCUCUUAAAGCCCUGAGCUAUGAACACAGCUUUGAACGGGACAGAGAAAGACCAAGUCAGAGGGGGAGCAGCUGUGUCUUUCUCCUCUCUGCUUCAUUAUAGACAAAAUUGACCUCUGGGCCAAGUCUCAUUAACUAAUUGAAGAGUUCAUAGUCACACAGUGUUUCUCAAAACGAGAUUCAGAGAACACGAGCAUCAGAAACACCUGAAGUGUUUGUUGGAAUUGCAGCUACCUGGGCCCCAUUUGGUGCCUGUUGAAUCAGAAUCUGUGGUAUAAGAACCUAAGAUCUGCAUUUCCAAUACACUUAUAAGUUGAGUGUCAAGCACAGUAAAGUUUGGGCAGCCCGUCCCUUAAUCUUUUCACAUCCCGUCAGAUUACAGAUUUAUAUUUUAACAAAAGCCUUUAUUUCCAUAAGCCAACAGGGGAACUUCAGAUACUGCUGUGGGGCAGCAGGGGAGAUGUUGUUAAGCAAAGGGAGAAGGGCUUCCAGCGCCUCUUGAUUUUUUCUGCAGAGGUAGCUGCACAUGCAGCUGGUCAGAGUUUACCUUCUAUGUCCUACCCCUGUGAAUGCACCCCAGAGCUGGAGCACGCAUUGAGGUCAGGGGGGCGCCUACCUGGAAGGACCUACCUGGAAACUGGAUAUCCAGUGAGGAGAGGAGAAGGGGCUGUCAGAAAAUCAGCUCACCUCUAGACGGCGGCAACUCAGAUAAGAGGAGCUUGUACUUCCGGUCUCUCCUCCCUCAUCCCUUUCUGGUUGGGAAAUUUUGUUCAAGCUACCGCUGUAUGCUUCUGUUUUCUCUGAAGAAAAUGGAGACUAAUAUUUAUGCCUGCCUCAAUAAAUACAUUUUUAUUAUAAUUAAUUUUGAAAGGUCCUGAGAUUGGUAGGAAGAUCACGUCCUCAGAGGCAGGUGUUGUGAACAGUGGAUAUGAA
rnacentral:lncRNA from 10 species